rnacentral:lncRNA from 1 species
GGAGCCACCAUCCACGGUUCUUGAGCUCCGUGUUCUUCAUCAGAUGCAUUGAUAUCUUCAUUUUGCUCCAUAUCGGCUAACUCAGCAAAUAAGUGAAUCGGUGCAUUAUUGUCACUCCCAUUCCCACAGUAGAGAUCAAUCAUUGUCUCCACGUCUUUGUCGUUUACAAGUUCCAUUUCGACGAAUUUGACCGGAUUUGUCGAAACUGGAAACUUGUAGAAAAUUUUUGAUAUCCUUCUCCCACAACGUCUAAGAAUUUUUGCAUUAAUCAU